GAUGAACGCUAGCUACAGGCUUAACACAUGCAAGUCGCAGGGUAACAUGAGGAAAGCUUGCUUUCCUUGAUGACGACUGGCGCACGGGUGAGUAACGCGUAUCCAACCUUCCCAUAACUACGGGAUAACCCGUUGAAAGACGGCCUAAUACCGUAUGAUAUCGUUUGCUGACAUCAAAUAACGAUUAAAGGUUUAGCGGUUAUGGAUGGGGAUGCGUCUGAUUAGCUUGUUGGCGGGGUAACGGCCCACCAAGGCGACGAUCAGUAGGGGUUCUGAGAGGAAGGUCCCCCACAUUGGAACUGAGACACGGUCCAACUCCUACGGGAGGCAGCAGUGAGGAAUAUUGGUCAAUGGGCGAGAGCCUGAACCAGCCAAGUAGCGUGCAGGACGACGGCCCUAUGGGUUGUAAACUGCUUUUAUGUGGGGAUAAAGUGCGUGACGUGUCAUGCAUUGCAGGUACCACAUGAAUAAGGACCGGCUAAUUCCGUG
rnacentral:rRNA from 1 species